rnacentral:lncRNA from 1 species
AUAUUUCUUCUUGGCCAAUUCGACGUCGAGGAGGGUUAGUUGGGCAACGGCAACGACCCAGACUGCGGGAGGAAAGUGCCGCGUUCGGAUCCCUUCUUAUAUCCUCUGAAAACUUUCGUCGUCGAUCGGAUUCGGACGCUGCGGAGGACACGAUGAAGUUGAUGCUCAUUCUGCAGGCGUGUCUGGUGGUCGCGGUGACGGCGGAGACCUGGCAACAGAAGUACGAUAGCUGGGCUUCGAAUCUCAAGCCCGGAUGGACAAUUCAGACAACUAUCCAGGAUGGACGCAAAUGCUACUGCAAGAUGCCGAACGCAACAGCGCCCAUGCAGUCGUCGUUUGGAGGCUUCAUCUCAAGCGGCAACUUAGCCUCCGUGGAAAGCGUUCGAUCAUCCUUUGAAUUUAACUUCAUAACACCACCCUAAAAGACAUCGAGCAGCAUACCAUAUUUGGCCGCCAACAGACCAGCCGGAUUUUGGUAAUAUUACCUACAGUAAAAUUUUGACCUCGGUAUUACGUCCUCCAAUGCAUUACUAUCAAGCUUUCUCUAAGAAAAAAGAAAAAGAAAAUGCACGUCGUAUAUUCUUUAUUCGUCUACAGGGAAUUGAUAGACGUAUAUGUUCUCUUUCGACUAACAAAAAAGAUGUGAUUUUGAUGAAUCGUGACCUCGUGUUGCAAAGAAAAUUAAAUACGCAAAAUUGUUAACGAAAUUUGGGAUGAGGACCCCUUGCCAUUUCAAUAAAGAAUUAAAAUGUG